rnacentral:rRNA from 1 species
UACGGAGGGUGCGAACGUUGUUCGGAUUUACUGGGCGUAAAGAGUUCGUAGGCGGUCGGGAUUAAUUAGACGUGAAAGCCUCCAGCUUACCUGGAGAAUUGCAUCUAAUAUUACCCGACUGGAGUGUGAAAGAGGAAAGCAGAAUUGUAGGUGGAGCGGUGAAAUGCGUAGAUAUCUACAGGAAUACCGGAGGCGAAGGCGGCUUUCUAGUUCGCUACUGACGCUGAGGAACGAAAGCUAGGGGA